rfam:Danio rerio unplaced genomic contig NA618, GRCz11 reference primary assembly.
GUCUCUGUGGCGCAAUCGGUUAGAGCGUUUGGCUGUGAACUGAAAGGUUGGUGGUUCAAGCCCACCCAGGGAUG